rnacentral:ncRNA from 22 species
GGGUGCGAUGCCGGUCGGCAUGGCAGGUACAGCGCAGGUCGGGCCGCCGCG